rnacentral:rRNA from 1 species
AUGAAUGUCCUCGCUUGGAACUGCCGGGGGGUAGGGAACCGCCGAACAGUUUGAGAGGUGUUUGCCCUUGUCAAAGCCAAUGACCCCAAGCUAGUCUUCUUAAGCGAGACUAGACAAGAUGUGGUUAAAGUGGAGAAGCUUAAGUGGAUGUUAGGUUUAAAAGGAUUUCGUGGUGUUAGUAGUAAUGGUAAAAGUGGAGGUUUGGCUCUUUUCUGGGAUGAGUCACUAUCCGUGACAGUACUUGAUGCAUGUUGUCGUUAUAUUCAUGUUCGUAUUGGUGAUGUUGGAGGAGGAACCUCAUGGAGAGGGACUUUUGUCUAUGGCGAGCCAAGAGUUGAGAACAGGCAAGUCAUGUGGGAUCAUCUAGCACGUCUCAGAGCAGUUUUGCAGGAACCUUGGUUUGUCUAUGGAGAUUAUAACGAAGCUCUAUGGCAACAUGAGCAUCUCUCGAGGUCUCCGCGAUUGGAGACGCAAAUGUCAGCCUUUAUGGACUACCUGCUACUUUGUGAGCUCGUGGACUUGGGAUUUGCAGGUAUUCCAUAUAUGUAUAAUAACGGGCAGGAUGGGUGA